rnacentral:misc_RNA from 1 species
AAGAUGAAGGCGAUGCAGCGCUUCUUCGAGGAAGGCGACAAGGUGAAGAUCACUUUGCGCUAUCGCGGACGCGAAAUGGCCCACCAGGAAAUCGGCACCAAGCUGCUGGAAAAGGUGAAGGCCGACGUCGCCGAAAUCGCCAAGGUCGAGCAGGACGCCCGUUUCGAAGGCCGUCAGGUGGUCAUGGUGCUGGCGCCGCGCUGAGGCGCAGCAAGCCCGUUUUACAUUUGAGUACGCGUGUGGCCCGUCAGAUGAUCUGGCGGGCCUUUUCUUUUGGGGAUUGCGGCUCA